rnacentral:rRNA from 1 species
UACGUAGGGUGCAAGCGUUAAUCGGAAUUACUGGGCGUAAAGCGUGCGUAGUCGGUUAUCUAAGUCGGGUGUGAAAUCCCCGGGCUCAACCUGGGAAUUGCAUUCGAUACUGGAUAGCUAGAGUUCGGCAGAGGGAAGCGGAAUUUCGGGUGUAGCGGUGAAAUGCGUAGAUAUUGGGAGGAACACCAGUGGCGAAGGCGGCUCACUGGACCGGAACUGACGCUGAGGCGCGAAAGCGUGGGGAGCAAACAGG